rnacentral:lncRNA from 1 species
GAAGGAGAUCUUCGCAACCGGGGUCGUGCUAGGUGGAUACCUUGCUUUGAUGACUGUCAUAUUCUUCUGGGUCAUGCACAAGACAGACUUCUUCCCUGUAAGAUCAUACGACACUGUUUAUAGCUAGUUAUCAUCAUAUCCGACGAAUUUAGAACACUAACAAAACUUUCGGAAAAUGCAGGACAAAUUCGGGGUGAGGCCGAUCAGGGAUAGCGAGGACGAGAUGAUGAGCGCGUUGUACCUUCAAGUUAGUAUAGUGAGUCAGGCUCUUAUCUUCGUAACAAGAUCUCGCAGCUGGUCGUUCGUUGAAAGGCCCGGGAUGCUUCUGAUGGUAGCCUUCGCCAUCGCCCAACUGGUACGUUUAAUUUCGAGUUUGAAAUUUCCAAUACUUUCUCCCGAAGUGAACUAUCUGUUAAUUAAUGUCUUCUGGUUUUCGUUACAGGUUGCAACUUUGAUAGCGGUGUAUGCGAACUGGGGAUUCGCGAGGAUCAAGGGAAUCGGAUGGGGAUGGGCCGGCGUUGUGUGGCUAUACAGCAUUGUGUUCUACUUCCCAUUGGACAUCAUGAAGUUCUCCAUCCGAUACAUCCUGAGCGGAAAGGCUUGGACUAACAUGCUAGAGAACAAGGUAAUAACCUCUAACUCCAGUUCUUGGGAGAAAGUUCAGAUUGACUUUUAUAUUAUUCAUCAACUAAAACAAACUGUGUCACACAGACUGCAUUCACGACGAAGAAAGACUACGGAAAAGAAGAGAGGGAGGCUCAAUGGGCGUUGGCACAAAGGACACUCCAUGGGCUACAACCGCCACAAGAGAGCACCGGAGGGAUCUUCAGCGAGAAGAGUAGCUACAGAGAACUUACUGAGAUUGCAGAGCAGGCGAAGAGGAGAGCCGAGGUCGCUAGGCUCAGGGAGCUUCUGACGCUCAAGGGUCACGUAGAAUCAGUCGUGAAGCUCAAGGGACUCGACAUUGACACCAUCCAACAACAUUACACCGUGUAAGAAGACAAAGAUGGAUCGGAGAUGGGCAGAAGUUUUCGGGUUUUGCUUCGACAACUACGAAGGAAUGAACAAACAAUAUGACAUAACUACCCCAACUUCUUAGAGUAAUAAAAACGUGUUCCUUUUGUUCUUCCAUUGUACUAAAAAGUCAGCAAGUGUUGUGCUGAGAAAAUGCUGCUUCCUCCUUUUGGCUUUAAGUUUAUGCAUGAAAAUGUAGUUUUUUGUUCCUGGCUUUUCUCAGCAUGGAUAUGCAAAGAAUUAGAGAGCCUUGUUUGUUCCUGGCUUCUGAAAUUGAUGGGCGGAUUACGAGCUAAGUUAAUCAGAAUGUUCAUAAAUUGAGCUAUUCGAGAUAUCUAACUCCACAUAGAUCUCAUCCUAAAGCUAACAAAAUGAUGUCUUCUCUCAAUACCAUCAAAUAUCAAGUUAUUCGAGAUAUCCAUAUGAUUGUAUCACUAUAUCAAAUGGUUAUCGAGGAUGACCUUGAUGUUAGGUUGCCGCAUUUUAACUGAUUUCUUCAGAUUGUGAUAGUUAGAGCACUGAAGAUUCUCUAUCUAGUGGAUCGAAAGGGUCCAACUAAGAUGAUAAGUAUAGGUAGGUUCGAUGAACAAAAGAGCACUAUGUGUGUACCCUUUUAGGAAGGAAACAAAAUGCUAUGAUGUAACUUUGUGGGUUGUCUUUCCAAAAGAGAGAAUCUCUGCCACCAAAAGUCUUUAUCAUCUUUGACGGUAGAGCGAUUGUAGUUGGUUGUGUUUUCGUAAUUUGAAGAUAUCAUAUUUAAAUUUAUUAUAGUUUAUAGGGGAAUAUCGAUAUUAUAUUUAUUUCUUUUUUUUUCUCUUGUAAUGAUAUCCUUGUCUUAUUUAUUUUCGAGUUUUGUUACCAGCGGUUUUACUUCUACCAGUACUGAUAUUUGUCACUUUGCUUGUUGCAUCACUACUGGCUUCCAAGUAAGUGAUGUUCAUCGUUCAAUAAUUGGAAUAGACCAUUUUAUGAUAGUUUUUUACAAAGAUUUUAAUCUUGAGUUGUUUGUAGGUUUUUUUAAUUUUUUAAGUGGAAUUAUAUUGGUUGACGUAUAGAUAUUGUUGACAUAUCUUUUAUUUUUUUUUUGUAUAUUAUUUAUGACGGAUAUUUCGGUGAAAAUAUACUCCCGGUAUAACGUUACAUGGCAAAGUAUCAUUAAGUGUUUUUUUUUUUUUUUCGAAAUACUAUUGUCUUAAUACCUAAAUAUGUAGACAAAUACAAAUCGAUGACAAAAAAAACAUAUCACUUCCGUCCACCCCUACUCUGGACAGACGAACAUUAGGAUUUUUCAACAUUGGAUCCAAAAAGCUGUCCGUGGUUUUCGAUCGAUCGUACGACAGAUUCGCGCUUCCCAACAGUGAAUCGGAGGAUUCCGUUGCUCAGGUGCUACAUUUGGGUUUUCUUCGUUGUAAUAUAGCCAGAUCAGUAGCUUGUUGGUUAAGGAUCAAACCUUCAUUUAUUGUUGAUCUUCUUAUAUUUGAAAUUUGUUAAUAGAUAUGGGAGGAAAGAGUUCAGAGAAACUCAUCGUCAUACAACGGGAAGAAAGUUCGGGCAUGUUGAUCUUUGGCUCUACAUUUUACUAAUUGAACUUUCGUAGAUUGCAUUAGAAGAUUGUAGACUCUGCUGCUCACUAUAGUGAUCUGGAAAAAACUUGGAGGAAUUUGAAUUUUUAGCUUUUUCCAUAGCAACUGAUACAAGUGAUGAACUUUCUCUGCACUAGAUCAUCUUUUCGGAGUAGACGAUCUGUGGUCUCAUGAUGCAUCGCAUGGAUUAGGGUGUUUGGAACAGGAAGAAGUUAACUAUCUGUGCUUUUAAGUGGAUUCAAGAAGCUUAAAGACAGUUUGGUCUGAUGAGCUAUAACGCCAUGCUUGUUAUUGUUUAGUCUUUGGGAUGGUGGUGCAGCUGGUGGUGGCGUUUCUCAUGCUUGCCUCCACCUCGGAUUGACAGAUUAUCGGACCUUUACUGGGACGAACUUAAAUCCUCUCUGGGAAAAUUUCCUCGCAUUCAUUCAUCUUCAGUAAUAUUCUUCAUCGCAAAAGUUGAGAUUUUUGGAGAAAAUACUUUUGUUAUGUUCCUUAUCAUUUGCAGUGUUGCUCACUGUAGAUGAUGUUUUACAAGCUUCUCCUCUUUUGCCCUUCUGGGCUCUUCCCGUCUCAGGUUCUUCCUUCCUUCCGUUUCAAUUUUAUUAUGAUAAGAAAGAAGAUUAGAUAUUAAAAAAAAGCGAAAAAAUUAUAGUUAAAAUAAUGAAAGGAAAGUUUAACGGCAUUAUAUUGAAUAAAUAUAGGAGAUUAUGUUGCAUUUGUUGAUAUAUUAAGGUAUUAAUAUAAUAUUUUUUUUUAUCUAAAAACAAAAUAGCUAAUGAAACGCCGCCACGUAGUAUUUGUACCGGAUGCCUGAUUUUAUCGGAGUGUUACCCUUAAAACAUGUAAAUUUAUGACACAUGAUUAAUGGUUAUAUUGGUUAACCGGCUAACCAAACUGAAUACAAUUAGUAAUAAUUAGUUUGGUUAUGAUUUUAAUUUGGCUAAUUUUCAAUAUUUAUAUAACACUAAGUCAAAUUAAUUUUCAACUUAAUUUGGUCAUUAUUUACAGGGAUUAUCAUAAUGAAACUUGAUUUUUUAGCCAUUUCCAACAUGUGUGUUAAAUAUGAGCUAAUUUGAAAAUUUAAAAUUUUCUUGUGAAAAUGGUCAAAUUUCCUUAGUAUAACACAUGGAAAUUGAACAAUUUUGACAUAAAAAUUGAAAUUUUUUAAAUUGAUUUAUAUUUGAUGUAUAUAUUGGAAAUAGUUAAAAAUUGAAGUUUCUUAUUUUUAGCGGAAAUCAUAUUAUAUAUACAUGUGAGACAAAGUUGAAUGCAUGUAUCAUAUUAAGAAUCUAGUGGAUUGGGUAUUAUUUGGACUAGCUAGUAGUUGCUAGUAGGUACAGUGGUAUCUGAGUCAGUGCUAUAUAUCUAUGUGUCAACCCUUUAUUUUGUGCGGUUUGUAUGGAUUACAACAACAGUCUUCAACGUCCUUGCUACCCCCUUUCAUGCCUACCAAAAAGCUCCUCUGCCUAAAAACCACUAUUGGAGGGAAUGGUGAUGGAUUGAUAGGGGAAGUGGGUGGUGAUGAAUGAAUCAAGCCUGUGUUUUUCCAUUGGUGGGUGGGUUGGUGGGUCAACACUUAUUAGUUCGUUGUCCAUGUGGUUUGAGAAUCGAUGGACAUGGAUACUCCUCAUUGGUUAGAGAAUCGAUGGACAUGGAUACCCCUCACUCGUUGUUCAUGUGGUAGAAUUGUACCUCUUAUUGUCAUCUAUCAUUAUUGAACAUCAUAGAAUUAGAAAAAUUGGUUAAAACAUACAAAAUCGUGGUAUUUUUAAACAUGAGGUAGAUAUAAACAUUGGUUUGAGGCAUAUACACCUAAAUCAUGAACCGAACCUUUCAAUUGAGGAAAAAUUUACUUUCUUUUUUUCUUUUAUUAUAGCAAAAUUAAUAACUCUUAAUCCAUUUCCUCCGCCCUCACUUAACCAACCACUCUUAUUUUCUUUGGCUAGCUUAACUAUUGUUAGGUUCAAAAAAGACGCCAGACAAGAACGUCGUUAUAUCCCGAAUAGUCCUUUAAAAUAAAUUCCACUUUCACUAAGUCUUUUUUCUUCCUUAUCACCAUUUUGGGCUAAAGGCCCUCGUAGCAUUUGGCUCGAUAGGUUCUUACCGGCCGGACCAAGAAAAACUAGGCCCAUAAAACAUUGGGCCUGAUCUCUUAGAAAACAACGAGCAAUUUGAAUGAUGACACGUGGAAGUUGCUAGAUCACUAAUCCACCCUCACCCGCCUUCCUCUUCUCUGGUUCUCUUCCUCCUCCCUCCCAAGCUCUCAUCAAAAUCCAGAAACGCCAUCAAAGCAAAAUCAGAAUGGGGAUAGUAUCGAUAGCUCCAUCAUGGAAUCAUCAGACCUUCCUCAUCAACGGAAUCAACACAACUCCCGCUCAUUCUCGCCGCUCUUCCGCAAAGUACACCCGCCUCCCCUCCACCACCGCCGCCGUUUCAUCCCUUCAUGAUUCGCCAUCGCCGCCGCCGCCGCUGUAUGUAACUGCUCAAUCUCAAUUAUCGAUCCAAAAUGUUCGAUUCAAUCGCUCUGAUUGGUUUGAAUUGUGUUACAGGAACAGGAAGCAUGAGAAGGAGGCGGAGUUGUUCAGAGUGGGGAAGCAAGUAGCAGUAGCGGUACUGGCUGCCGGAAUACUCACUCUGGGGGCGGCAGGCGAUGCUUCAGCUGCUAAGUCCGGUGGGAGGAUCGGCGGACAGACUUUCCGGUCUUCCCAAUCUCCUCCCUCUCCUUCCGGUCUUCGCAACCUCCUCCUUCCCGCUCUUCUCCGCGCAUCAACAACAAUUCCUCUCGGUAAAAUUAAAUUAUUAAUUUAAAUUUGUUCAAUUACUGUUUUAUCCAUAAGAGAACGUAUAUUUCUAAUUUUGUUUUAAUAAUGAUUAAGUGAUGUGUUGGGUGAUAUGGUAUCAUUUAAAUAAUUAUUAGGGAUGAAAAAUUGCUUGUUAAUUUAACAAUGUUAUAUAGAUACAUUGUUACAAUUUUUGACAAAAUACAUUUUUUAAUAGAAAAUAAAGUGAAGAUAAAUAAUAUUUAAUGAUUUUGAUUCGUUCAUUUUUGUUGGGUUUGUUUGUAAAAU